UACAGAGGUGGCAAGCGUUGUUCGGAAUUACUGGGCGUAAAGGGCGCGUAGGCGGUUCGUUAAGUCCUGUGUGAAAUCCCCCGGCUCAACUGGGGAACUGCACAGGAAACUAGCGGGCUUGAGUUCGGGAGAGGGAAGCGGAAUUCCGGGUGUAGCGGUGAAAUGCGUAGAUAUCCGGAGGAACACCGGUGGCGAAGGCAGCUCGCUGGGACGUUACUGACGCUGAGACGCGAAAGCGUGGGGAGCAAACAGG
rnacentral:rRNA from 1 species